GGCAAGCUGCGGAGGGACGCAGGAAGGUAGCUCAUCCCGGGCGUUGGUUGUCCCGGGCUAAGUGUGUAGGGCGAGACGUAGGCAAAUCCGCGUCUCAUUCAUGCCUGAGACAUGAUGGGUCUGCCACAUUUGUGGUGGAUUGAGUGAUCCUAUGCUGCCUAGAAAAGCUUCGUGAGCGAGCUGUGAGCCACCCGUACCCCAAACCGACACAGGUGGAUAGGUAGAGAAUACUAAGGCGAUCGAGAUAAUCGUGGUGAAGGAACUCGGCAAAAUGCCCCCGUAACUUCGGGAUAAGGGGGACCGGAUACGUGAUCUCACUAGCUGGGUGAAGCGUUGAAGGUCGCAGAGACCAGUCCCAAGCGACUGUUUACUAAAAACACAGGUCCGUGCUAAGUCGAAAGACGAUGUAUACGGACUGACUCCUGCCCGGUGCUGGAAGGUUAAGGGGAAGUGUUAGCUAUUAAAGGCGAGGCACUGAACUUAAGCCCCAGUAAACGGCGGUGGUAACUAUAACCAUCCUAAGGUAGCGAAAUUCCUUGUCGGGUAAGUUCCGACCUGCACGAAUGGAGUAACGACUUGGGAGCUGUCUCCACCACGAACUCGGCGAAAUUGCAUUACGAGUAAAGAUGCUCGUUACGCGCAGCAGGACGGAAAGACCCCGGGACCUUUACUAUAGUUUGGUAUUGGUGAUCGGUGUGACUUGUGUAGGAUAGGUGGGAGACUGUGAAACCUUAACGCCAGUUAGGGUGGAGUCAUCGUUGAAAUACCACUCUGGUCACUCUGGUUAUCUAACCUAGGUCCAUUAUCUGGAUCAGGGACAGUGCCUGAUGGGUAGUUUGACUGGGGCGGUCGCCUCCCAAAGAGUAACGGAGGCGCCCAAAGGUUCCCUCAGCCUGGUUGGUAAUCAGGUUUCGAGUGUAAGUGCACAAGGGAGCUUGACUGCGAGAGGGACAUCUCGAGCAGGGACGAAAGUCGGGACUAGUGAUCUUCUGGUGGCACAUGGAAGCGCCAGGACUCAACGGAUAAAAGGUACCCCGGGGAUAACAGGCUGAUCUUGCCCGAGCGUCCAUAGCGACGGCAUGGUUUGGCACCUCGAUGUCGGCUCGUCGCAUCCUGGGGCUGUAGUCGGUCCCAAGGGUUGGGCUGUUCGCCCAUUAAAGCGGCACGCGAGCUGGGUUUAGAACGUCGUGAGACAGUUCGGUCCCUAUCCGCUGCGCGCGUAGGAGUCUUGAGAAGAGCUGUCCUUAGUACGAGAGGACCGGGACGGACUAACCUCUGGUGUGCCAGUUGUCCUGCCAAGGGCACGGCUGGUUGGCUACGUUGGGAAGUGAUAACCGCUGAAAGCAUCUAAGCGGGAAGCACACUUCAAGAUGAGGGCUCCC
rnacentral:rRNA from 1 species